UUAGUUACAGUAAUACCUAUCCUGGUCCAGCCAGCCUGCAGUACUUCUCUGGGGAAGACCUAGACAGGGACACACGGCUGAGAAUGCAGCAGGGGCAGUUCAGGUACAACUUGGAAAGGCAACAGCAGGAGCAACAGCAAGCCAAGGUUGAUGAGAAUUAUACAGCCUACUGAAGAUGAACCAUCUCUUUCAUGUCUACCCAUCUCCCAGUUGCAUAGUACAGUGUCUGACAGGUCUUAGGAACAGCAAGGAGCUCAGU
rnacentral:lncRNA from 10 species